rnacentral:misc_RNA from 1 species
GCCGAGUUGGACCAGAUUAAGGUUCCAGGCGCCAAUAUAACACCCAAUAAAUUGUAAUCCCAUUGCCAUCCUCUGCCUCCACAGAUUCCCUCCAAAAAACCUACCUAUCAUCAAAUCUCUCUCAACAAAUCCUCCUCGUUCUCCUUUGGUUCAGAAAUUAAUCUGCCAUAGCCAAAACCUUGUUGAAAAAGAAUGAACGGGAGCAGCUCCUACGAAACAUCUUGGGCUGAUCAAUGGGACAACGGCCCUGAUCCUGUUUACGAUUACCAGAACAGGAAGAGCAGCAACAACACCAGUUCCGCCGCCAAAUACAAGCAGAAGGUUGGAGAAGGACUUGGAAAAACCAAAGCUGUUGCUUCAACUGGUAUGAAGAAGGUCAAAGAA